GACGAACGCUGGCGGCGUGCUUAACACAUGCAAGUCGAACGGAAAGGCCCUGCUUUUGUGGGGUGCUCGAGUGGCGAACGGGUGAGUAACACGUGAGUAACCUGCCCUUGACUUUGGGAUAACUUCAGGAAACUGGGGCUAAUACCGGAUAGGAGCUCCUGCUGCAUGGUGGGGGUUGGAAAGUUUCGGCGGUUGGGGAUGGACUCGCGGCUUAUCAGCUUGUUUGUGUGGUAGUGGCUUACCAAGGUUUUGACGGGUAGCCGGCAUGGGAGGGUUAACGGCCACCUUGGGCCUGAGAUACGGCCCAGACUGCUACGGGCGGCAACAGUGGGGAAUAUUGCACAAUGGGCGGAAGCCUGAUGCAGCAACGCCGCGUGCGGGAUGACGGCCUUCGGGUUGUAAACAGCUUUCGCCUGUGACGAAGCGUGAGUGACGGUAAUGGGUAAAGAAGCACCGGCUAACUACGUG
rnacentral:rRNA from 1 species